CGGCAGGCUUAACACAUGCAAGUCGAACGGGUGUAGCAAUACAUCAGUGGCAGACGGGUGAGUAACACGUGGGAACCUUCCUAGAGGUACGGAACAACUCAAGGGAAACUUGAGCUAAUACCGUAUACGCUCUUGCGAGGAAAGUAUUUAUCGUCCUUUAGACCGGGCCCGCGUCGGUAUUAGCUAGUUGGUGGGGUAACGGCCUACCAAGGCGACGAUCCGUAGCUGAUCCGAGAGGAUGAUCAGCCACACUGGGACUGAGACACGGCCCAGACUCCUACGGGAGGCAGCAGUGGGGAAUCUUGGACAAUGGGCGCAAGCCUGAUCCAGCCAUGCCGCGUGAGUGAAGAAGGCCUGCGGGUUGUAAAGCUCUUUUGCCAGGGACGAUAAUGACGGUACCUGGAGAAUAAGCCCCGGCAAACUUCGUG
rnacentral:rRNA from 1 species